AGAACGAACGCUGGCGGCAGGCUUAACACAUGCAAGUCGAACGCGUGUAGCAAUACACGAGUGGCGCACGGGUGAGUAACGCGUGGAUAUCUGCCUUUUGGUUCGGAAUAACCCCGGGAAACUGGGGCUAAUACCGGAUGGUUCCUUCGGGAUAAAGAUUUAUCGCCAAAAGAUGAGUCCGCGUACGAUUAGCUAGUUGGUGAGGUAAUGGCUCACCAAGGCGACGAUCGUUAGCUGGUCUGAGAGGACGAUCAGCCACACUGGGACUGAGACACGGCCCAGACUCCUACGGGAGGCAGCAGUGGGGAAUAUUGGACAAUGGGGGCAACCCUGAUCCAGCCAUGCCGCGUGAGUGAUGAAGGCCUUCGGGUUGUAAAGCUCUUUUGGCGGGGACGAUGAUGACGGUACCCGCAGAAUAAGCCCGGCUAACUUCGUGCCAGCAGCCGC
rnacentral:rRNA from 1 species